GGCUCUAUGGGGUCCCUAUGGGGCUCUGUGGGGUCCCUAUGGGUCCCUAUGGGGGCCAUGUCCCACCUCCAGGACAACAUCCACCACGCCGACCCCCCCGUGCAGGUGGGGCCCGCUUAUGGGGUGAUAGGGGGGCUCUAUGGGGCUCUAUGGGGUCCCUAUGGGGCUCUAUGGGGUCCCUAUGGGGUCCCUAAGGGGCUCUGGGGGGGCUAUGUGUGGCCACAAGGGGUCCCUAUGGGGCUCUAUGGGGUCUACAGGUCCCUAUGGGGCUCUAUGGGGUCCCUAUGGGGCUCUAUGGGGUCUCUGUGGGGCUCUAUGGGGUCCCUAUGGGGCUCUAUGGGGUCUACAGGUCUCUAUGGAGUCUCUAUGGGCCCCUAUGAGGUCCCUAUGGGGCUCCGUUGGGUCUCUGUGGGUCCCUAUGGGGUCCCUAUGGGGCUCUAUGGGGGCUCUAUGGGGCUCUGUGGGGCUCUAUGGGGUCCCUAUGGGGCUCUAUGGGGUCUACAGGUCUCUAUGGGUCACUAUGGGGUCCCUAUGGGGCUCUAUGGGGUCUCUAUGGGGCUCUGUGGGGCUCUAUGGGGUCCCUAUGGGGCUCUAUGGGGUCCCUAUGGGGCUCUAUGAGGUCCCUAUGGGGCUCUGGGGGGGCUAUGUGUGGCCACAAGGGGUCCCUAUGGGGCUCUAUGGUGUCUGCAGGUCUCUAUGGGUCACUAUGGGGUCGCUAUGGGGUCCCUAUGGGGUCUGUGGGGCUCUAUGGGGUCCCUAUGGGGCUCGAUGGGGCUCUAUGGGGUCCCUAUGGGGCUCUAGGGGGUCUCUAUGGGGCUCUAGGGGGUCUACAGGACUCUAUGGGUCACUAUGGGGUCCCUAUGGGCCACUAUGGGGUCCCUAUGGGCCACUAUGGGGUCCCUGUGGGGCGCUAUGGGGUCCCUAUGGGGUCCCUAAGGGGCUCUAUGGGGUCCCUAAGGGGCUCUAUGGGGUCCCUAUGGGGCUCUAUGGGGUCUCUGUGGGGCUCUAUGGGUUCUACAGGUCUGUAUAGGUCACUAU
rnacentral:lncRNA from 1 species